GGCUGGUUGCCCGAGCGGCCAAAGGGAGCGGACUGUAAAUCCGUCGCGCAAGCUACCAAGGUUCGAAUCCUUGACCAGCCACCA
rnacentral:tRNA from 1 species